rnacentral:snoRNA from 1 species
AGCUCUUUCUGUUUCAUGUAUUGUGAUGAAUGGGUGUUCACUCACCUGAGUGAGAUGUACCACCCCCAACCUUUCAA